rnacentral:rRNA from 1 species
GACGAACGCUGGCGGCGUGCCUAACACAUGCAAGUCGAACGGCAACGCACUGAUUUUGUGCUGUUCUGGAGUGCCGAACGCGGGCGUGUCACGUGUAUAUCCUACCCUUCACUUUGGGGUAACUUCAGGUAACUGGAGCUACUCUCAUACAGCAGACCCUGUUCCAUGGUGGGGGUUGGAUCGUUUCGGCGGUUGCGGAUGGACGGGCGGCUUAUGAGCUUGUUGGUGGGGGGGUGGAUUACCCAGGCUUUGACGGGUAGCCGGCCUGAGAGGGUGACCGGCCACAUUGGGACUGAGGUACGGACCAGAGGGCUACGGGAGGCAGGAGGGGGGAACAUUGCACAAUGGGCGGAAGCCUGAUGCAGCAACGCCGGGUGCGGGAUGACGGUUUUCGGGUAGUAAACAGCAUUAGGCUGUGACGAAGCGUGAGUGACGGUAACGGGUAAAGAAGCACCGGCUAACUACGUG